UACGAAGGGGGCUAGCGUUGUUCGGAAUCACUGGGCGUAAAGAGCGUGUAGGCGGCCAGGUAGGUCUGCUGUGAAAACUCGAGGCUCAACCUCGAGACGUCGGCGGAAACCAUCUGGCUAGAGUCCGGAAGAGGAGAGUGGAAUUCCUGGUGUAGCGGUGAAAUGCGCAGAUAUCAGGAAGAACACCCCGUGGCGAAGGCGGCUCUCUGGGACGGUACUGACGCUGAGACGCGAAAGCGUGGGGAGCGAACAGG
rnacentral:rRNA from 1 species